GACCUCCUGGGCUGGGCAGGGGGGUCCUGAGAUGGCAAAGGGGAGGGCUUUGGAAGGAGCCCACCAGGCACUUCUCGGCCCACCUGCAGGCCCACUCCACAGCUCUGUGUCCUCCCUCGCUGGCAGGCCUGGCACCUGACCUCAGUCUCCAUCCUGCUGGCUCCCUCUGCCUAGAACCUCUUCCCAGACACAGCUGCUCCUCCAUCCUGCCCUCCUCUUUCCUGCUCUCCACCAGUGCUGUCCUCUUCCCGUAGUAACUUGCCAGGGUCCCAUGCACCCUCUGUCUCUGGCUGCUGUGGGCCUGUCUUGCUCAGCAGCAUGUGUGGUCUCUGCCUCCUGCCCACCCUCAGUGCUCCUCCCCAUCACCUCCGCCUCUCCUCCUUUUCCCACUCUCACUGCCAUCACUGUGUUCUCACUGGAAGCCCCUCCCUGCCUUCCCAGCUCUCCUUCCUCCAGCCCCUUGCCACACAAGGAUCAGCCUCAGCCCUGCCCAGAGCACCUGGCAGUCACAGACUUGCUUCUGUUCUCCCAGCCUAGCCAGGCACUGCUCACAGACACAGGAAGAGGGAGUGAGAGAGCAAGAACCACCAGGGGUUGGCCUCCCUGCCUCCUCCUCCUGAGUCCAUCCAGUACAAGCAGCUUCUCCAGAAUUAUCCACCUCCAGUGAGCAUGGGGGACCUCUGCUGGGCCAGCCCACAGGUGGCCUCCUCCAGAGGGCCUCAAACCACCACACUCACCCUGAAGAGGCCAGGGCAGGCUGCAGGACACCCUGCAAGGACAGCCAGGCCCUGUCCUCUAGUAGAUUCCCCACUCUCUUACUGCCAUACAGGAAACCCCCUCAGCACACUGAGGAGAAAUAUGAGAACACUGGGAAUCAAGGACAACAUAAAGAACCUGGGCUCACCCUCAGGGAUGACGGCAUCGUCUACGCUUCCCUUUCCCUCUCCAAUCCAUCCUCCACGAAGGCUCCUCUCUGCC